CAGGUCUUGACAUCCCAUUGACCGCUAUGGAGACAUAGCUUUCCNUUUGGGGACAGUGUGACAGGUGGUGCAUGGUUGUCGUCAGCUCGUGUCGUGAGAUGUUGGGUUAAGUCCCGCAACGAGCGCAACCCUUGUUUUUAGUUGCCAUCAUUAAGUUGGGCACUUUAAGGAGACUGCCGGUGACAAACCGGAGGAAGGUGGGGAUGACGUCAAAUCAUCAUGCCCCUUAUGACCUGGGCUACACACGUGCUACAAUGGACGGUACAAAGGGUAGCGAACUCGCGAGGGGGAGCCAAUCCCAUAAAACCGUUCUCAGUUCGGAUUGUAGGCUGCAACUCGCCUACAUGAAGCCGGAAUCGCUAGUAAUCG
rnacentral:rRNA from 1 species